GACGAACGCUGGCGGCGUGCUUAACACAUGCAAGUCGAACGGAAAGGCCCUGCUUUUGUGGGGUGCUCGAGUGGCGAACGGGUGAGUAACACGUGAGUAACCUGCCCUUGACUUUGGGAUAACUUCAGGAAACUGGGGCUAAUACCGGAUAGGAGCGCCGGCUGCAUGGUGGGGGUGGGAAAGUUUCGGCGGUUGGGGCUGGACUCGCGGCUGAUCAGCUUGUUGGUGGGGUAGUGGUUUACCAAGGGUUUGACGGGUCGCCGGCAUGUGAGGGGGGCCGGGCACAUUGGGACUGAGAGACGGCCCAGUGUCCUACGGGGGGCAGCAGGGGGGAAUAUGGUACAAUGGGCGGAAGCGUGAUGCAGCAACGCCGGGGGCGGGAUGACGGCCUUCGGGUUGGAAACCGCGUUCGCCUGAGACGAAGCGUGAGUGACGGUAAUGGGUAAAGAAGCACCGGCUAACUACGUG
rnacentral:rRNA from 1 species